rnacentral:lncRNA from 1 species
UAUGUAUCCAAAUCAAACUUCUCACAAAGUGAUUCAUCCUGGUUUGAUUGGAACGACGAAGAAGCUGUUCUAUUCCCAAACUGGGAAACUGGAAUCACCUGAUUUGAAAGUGGGAUAACUUCUCCUUGCCAACUCCUAUGAGAUUUAUUCAACUUCCUGGUGAUUCUCCACCACUUUAUGUAUCCAAAUAAAGCUUCUCACAAAGUGAUUCAUCCUGGUUUGAUUGGAACGACAAAGAAGCUGUGCUAUUCCCAAACUGGGAAACUGGAAUCACCUGAUUUGAAAGUGGGAUAACUUCUUCAUCCCAACUCCUAUGAGAUUUAUUCAACUUCCUGGUGAUUCUCCACCACUUUAUGUAUCCAAAGCAAGGUUCUCACAAAGUGAUUCAUCCUGGUUUGAUUGGAACGACGAUGAACCUGUGCUAUUCCCAAAAUGGGAAACUGGAAUCACCUGAUUUGAAUGUGGGAUAACUUCUUCUUCCCAACUCCUAUGAGAUUUAUUCAACUUCCUGGUGAUUCUCCCCCACUUUAUGUAUCCCAAUCAAGCUUCUUACAAAGAUAUUCAUCCUGGUUUGAUUGGAACGACGAAGAAGCUGUCAUAUUCCCAAACUGGGAAACUGGAAUCACUUGAUUUGAAAGUUGGAUAACUUCUUCUUGCCAGCUCGUAUGAGAUUUAUUCAACUUCCUGGUUAUUCUCCACCACUUUAUGUAUCCAAAUCAAGCUUCACACAAAGUGAUUCAUCCUGGUUUGAUUGGAACGACGAAUAAGCUGUUCUAUUCCCAAACUGGGAAACUGGAAUCACCUGAUUUGAAAGUGGGAUAACUUCUUCUUGCCAACUCCUAUGAGAUUUAUUCAACUUCCUGGUGAUUCUCCACCACGUUAUGUAUCCAAAUCAAAUUUCUCACAAAGUGAUUCAUCCUGGUUUGAUUGGAACGACGAAGAAGCUGUUCUAUUCCCAAACUGGGAAAUUGGAAUCACAUGAUUUGAAAGUGGGAUAACUUCUUCUUCCCAACUCCUAUGAGAUUUAUUCACCUUCCUGGUGAUUCUCCACCACGUUAUGUAUCCACAUCAAACUUCUCACAAAGUGAUUCAUCCUGGGUUGAUUGGAACGACGAAGAAGCUGGUCUAUUCCCAAACUGGGAAAUUGGAAUCACAUGAUUUGAAAGUGGGAUAACUUCUUCUUCCCAACUCCUAUGAGAUUUAUUCACCUUCCUGGUGAUUCUCCACCACUUUAUGUAUCCAAAUCAGGCUUCUCACAAAUUGUUUAAUCCUGGUUUGAUUGGAACGACGAAGAAGCUGUGCUAUUCCCAAACUGGGAACUUGGAAUCACAUGAUUUGAAAGUGGGAUAACUUCUUCUUCCCAACUCCUAUGAGAUUUAUUCAACUUCCGGGUGAUUCUCCACCAUUUUAUGUAUCCAAAUCAAGCUUCUUACAAAGAGAUUCAUCCUGGUUUGAUUGGAACGACGAAGAAGCUGUGGUAUUCCCAAACUGGGAAGCUGGAAUCACGUGAUUUAAAAGUGGGAUAACUUCUUCUUCCCAACUCCUAUGAGAUUAAUUCAACUUCCUGGUGAUUCUCCACCAUUUUAUGUAUCCAAAUCAAGCUUCUUACAAAGAGAUUCAUCCUGGUAUGAUUGAAACGACGAAGAAGCUGUGCUAUUCCCAAACUGGGAAACUGGAAUCACCUGAUUUGAAAGUGGGAUAACUUCAUCAUCCCAACCCCUAUGAGAUUUAUUCAACUUCCUGGUGAUUCUCCACCACUUUAUGUAUCCAAAUCAAGCUUCUCACAAAGUGAUUCAUCCUGGUUUGAUUGGAACGACGAAGAAGCUGUGCUAUUCUCAACCUGGGAAACUGGAAUCACAUGAUUUGAAAGUGGGAUAACUUCUUCUUGCCAACUCCUAUGUGAUUUAUUCAACUACCUGGUGAUUCUCCACCACUUAAUGUAUCAAAAUCAAGCUUCUCACAAAGUGAUUCAUCCUGGUUUGAUUGGAACGACAACGAAGCUGUGCUAUUCCCAAACUGGGAAACUGGAAUCACAUGAUUUGAAAAUGGGAUAACUUCUUCUUCCCAACUCCUAUGAGAUUUAUUCAACUUCCUGGUGAUUCUACACCACUUUAUAUAUUCAAAUCAAGCUUCUUACAAAGAGAUUCAUCUUGGUUUGAUUGGAACGACGAAGAAGAUGUGGUAUUCCCAAACUGGGAAACUGGAAUCACCUGAUUUGAAAGUUGGAUAACUUUUUCUUCCCAACUCCUAUGAGAUUUAUUCAACUUCCUGGUGAUUCUCCACCACUUUAUGUAUCCAAAUCAAGCUUCUCACAAAGAGAUUCAUCCUGGUUUGAUUGGAACGACGAAGAAGCUGUGCUAUUCCCAAACUGAGAAACUGGAAUCACAUGAUUUGAAAGUGGGAUAACUUCUUCUUCCCAACUCCUAUGAGAUUUAUUCAACUUCCUGGUGAUUCU